GAUCCUCCCCACCUUUCUUUCUCUAGGCCCCAGGUCGAGAAGAACGGAUCCGCAGCAACUGCCGGCGCUCCUCCCUUCCCCUUCUCCGAGUCGACCCCGCCUCCGGUCGCGGCCCACUCUCCUACAAGCCGCGACGACAUCCUCGCCGAUCAGCCGCGGCCAGCGCCCUCCUCAUCCCUUCUCUCUCCCUCUCCUCACUAAUCUCUCUCCCUGUCUCCGUUGGACCUUCCCUCGUGACUGUCGGCCUUCCUCCUGACUAGAUCAACGACAGCGACGACCGGAUGUCCCACGCUGCCAUGGCUAAGACACACCGCAUUCGCCCCACCUCCCAACAAACGCCGCCGUCCCUUCCCUUCCGAUCCACCACGAGUCAACCUGUCGCCACCACGCACGCGAGCCACGGCGGGGGACGCAAGAGGAGGAGUUGCGGCUUCCUCCGAGCACACACGUGCUGUUGCAGUCGGCCUCUCCUGGAGCGUCGGUCACCGUCGCCGCCUACCGCUCGGCUUCUGCCCCACAGGCGCCACGUCCAGGAACUCCCUCCGCCGCUGCCGGAGUAAUGCCCAUCGGAUUUGGAUUUUGGGAGCUUUCAAUCGUGGAUGCUUGUUUCCGUAUGGAGUAAUGACAUUUUUUAACUGACGGAUUGAUCCAUGAUUGUCUCCAGGUUCAAUAGUCGUUCAAGCACGUGCAGUUUUUGGGAAUGAAGUCAGAAGAAUAGCUUGGUAUUUCUGUGGUUGAGGUUUCAACAUAUUGAUUUCAACAGAGGGAUGCUGGUGCAGUGACCAUAUCUAUGGUAAGACAUAUGGAGUAAAAUUAAGAGGUGAUACCUUUUUUGUUCUACUGAAAUUUUACACGUCUAAAGAAGCUUCGUUUUCUUCAGUUCCGGACAUUUAACAGUUAUCUGAGAGGUUCUAGCAUGGACUACAAACUAAUCUCAGCUACGUCUGAAUGUAGUGCAAGGAAUUCUGCUUCUUGCAGCUGCAGGACCAUGAGAUGUCGAGGCUACACGAUAGGACACACCAAGGUCCCAACCAAGUCAGUGAUGUUGCCCUGACUCCGUAUUUCUUCAGCUUGAGGAAGCUGUGGCAGCCUGACUCUCUUCUGCCUAUUGUUGUCCUAUCUGACCUGCUACUAGGAAACUACUACUACUCAAGUUUGAUAGAUGCUAUCUUGCGUACGACUGAGCAGUCUUGGCUAUACUUCAACCCAGACAUGAACGAAGCAAAUAACUUGAUUAUAUGGAACAUUCAUGAUUACCAAUGCCUUGCUAUUUUUUUACCUUGACUAACACAAAGGUUGCAAUAUGUAGGUUCAGGGGGCUCCGAUGCUUGCUCCAACCAAAGAAGUCUUUCAAGCUAGAUUUUCUUUCCACAUGAUACCUAGAACUGGCAUUGGCUGAGGUGUUUGUAACCAAUUGUAUAGAUCUUGAUUAAUUUUUGCUCUGUUUUUUCCUCCCCCUUAUACCAUACUAUAUUAAUGAAAA